GAUGAACGCUGACGGCGUGCCUAAUACAUGCAAGUCGAGCGAACAGACGAGGAGCUUGCUCCUCUGACGUUAGCGGCGGACGGGUGAGUAACACGUGGAUAACCUACCUAUAAGACUGGGAUAACUUCGGGAAACCGGAGCUAAUACCGGAUAAUAUAUUGAACCGCAUGGUUCAAUAGUGAAAGACGGUUUUGCUGUCACUUAUAGAUGGAUCCGCGCCGCAUUAGCUAGUUGGUAAGGUAACGGCUUACCAAGGCGACGAUGCGUAGCCGACCUGAGAGGGUGAUCGGCCACACUGGAACUGAGACACGGUCCAGACUCCUACGGGAGGCAGCAGUAGGGAAUCUUCCGCAAUGGGCGAAAGCCUGACGGAGCAACGCCGCGUGAGUGAUGAAGGUCUUCGGAUCGUAAAACUCUGUUAUUAGGGAAGAACAAAUGUGUAAGUAACUAUGCACGUCUUGACGGUACCUAAUCAGAAAGCCACGGCUAACUACGUG
rnacentral:rRNA from 1 species